ACACUUAGGCUAUGAAUAUAGCUUCUCGUAGAUCUUGCACGUGAAGUGAAGUGUUGAAUAUUAUUGUCAGAUUAAUUUUCAUCUGACAGGCUUCUUGGACAAAGCAAAAAUGGGCUUAUGGGAAUAUUUUUCAUCUGGUUGUCUAUCUUUUGACAGCUACUGAAAAAGAAGAAUACUGCAGGUGCUUCUUUUAAAAUGAAAACACAAUUUCAGCUACAAGAAGGGCAGUGAGCAAUAAUAUUUCACACAGGAAUUGAAAUACAUCUCUGCAAAUGAGCUUACAUUGAGACAACUCUUCUGAUAGCUUCUUGAGAGGGAACAGGAGUGGAGAAAUACUCUUUGAAAAUAACCUGCACCUUGAAUUACUCCAUUCCCUGUUCUCUCCAGUUGCUGCUCUCAUGUCCCAGAACAGAGGGCAGGGAAGAGCAGUGGCUGCUGCUGCUGGUCCUGCCUGUGCCUCCCCCAGGCAGUCUCCAUCUCUGCCCCGGGAGCUGUUGGAAGUCAGAGCAAGCCAGUCUGCUGCCCAGCUUCUUCUCAGGGUGCUGUGCAGGCAAGCGCUGUGCAAAGUUCUCCCAGUGAGGAUGAAUAAACAUUUAAAAGCAAUUUGCAAGGUUUUAUAGUUGUCAAUUUUAUUGCUGCUAUAGUAUUUGAAGUAGUCUGAGGUGGAAAAUCCUGUUGGCAGACAGCUGCUUUUGCACUUGCACCUCACCAAACAACUAUAUUUAGCUUUUAUUGCAUAUUCUUGGCCAGAUUGUAUGCAUGAAUAAGGAUCACCCACUUUGCUCCAGGACUCGUCUCACUGACAACGCGAUUCCCAGUUACUACGCCAGCUUCUAGGAAAAAUGUUCUUACUCUAUAUAAACAUGUUCCAGAGCAUGAGAGACGGAGGAAGACAAAGUUAACUCUUUGGAAGAUUUCAGACUCAAUAAGAGAUGUUUUCUCUUUGGCAUGUUCCCUCAUUCUCUAUCCAUAUAUCUAUACAGAAAGUUUCAAUGCAAAGCCUGUACCUGGUGUGUGUUGUACCCCUGCCCAGGAGCUGGUGUGGGAUAGCUGUUCUCAGCUCUCAUGCUGCCCAGCUUAAAUCUGAACAUACAGCUGCUACAUCCAGGCUGGGUUUACUUCAGCUGCUGAAGGAGCACAAAAAUUAAAUUGCAAAGGGAUACGGUGCUUGCUGGUACCCAUACGAGUGCUCUUAUCCUGCAGGGCCUGGUAGGCUUCCCCACUCCGUGGGAGACACGGAGCAGAUGCUGCAGGACCGGUGUGGCAGAGAAGAGGUUAAUCUGGGUGCUAAUUAAGGAGUAGCUGGAAGGAGACCCAUCUGCAGAGGGUGCCCUGAGGGAGGCAGGUAGCAGAUGUUACUGAAGCGUGGGAGGCAGGGAGAGGCCAAGAAGAGCAGAGCAGAUGGGCGCAGAGGCAGAGCCGGGGGGACGCAGCGAGGUGCCCAGCUGCGUGUGGCCCUGGGAGCCAGGGGCAGGAGAUCCGGGCAGCGAGGGGCAGAGCUGGGGCCACCUCCUGCGGCAGCGCCCCGGGCAGGCUGGAGAGGGAGCCAGGCUGAAGAGCUCUUGCCCUGGCCAUCAUUUUUGGCAAGGAAAUGUGGUUCUGACCUGGGAUGGGACAAGCCCGCAGGGGUUCCCCGCUCUGCCCAGUGUCCCUCCCGUGUGCUCACUGGUGGAGCCCAGUGACAGCAACAUGCCCGUGCCAGACCCAGGGAGGAGCGCGCAUCCUGGGGCUGCAGCAGCGCAGUGCUCAGAAGCCUGGUCUCUGGUGGUGUGGCACUGCCUGAGGGCUCCUGCUGCUGGCCGGUCGGGGUCUGCACUGAGGCCACCACAACCGCUCUGGUUUUCUCUGGCCAGCCUGUAGGAGGGAAGCUGUCACCAGAGCCUGACUGCUCCAGUGCUGCCAUUAACACACCAAGCUGCGAGGCAAGGGCUGACUUUUCCUUGCUGCUCAAGGUGUGCUCUUCCUUCACAGUGGAAAAGAGAAGUAGGAGGGAGGCACGGCAGAGCCAGAACAGAGUAUGGGCCACCAAAUCUCAGAGUGUCUCUGAGCAGCAUGUGCUGAAAAGUGCCGCUGAGCAUGGCGGGUACUACAGACGUGGGCUGCAGCACGGUGCCCUCCGCUUCCCAGCUGCAGUGUUUCCCUUCUGCAGUCUCUGGAGCAAGGCCAGUGCCAUUACAGCUCUGGUUUGGAGCUCCAGGUGAAAUUUGGUAUGAUUUUGCAGAAAGUAAACACAUCCAGCCUCCCAAAGUGCAGACUGAACACAGCAACCUUUCCUGUGAUGGCAGCAAAUUGCCGUAAUGGGUUGUCAGAUCAUUUCAGAAACAAGUGUCGGCAGAGGUUCUGCAGAAACCCAAUGUAAAUGCACCAGAAGUGAGAUCUGUGACACAAAGUAAUUUCUCACCCUGGCGCACUGAUAUGUAAAUACUUCAGCUAAAAUUCAAGCCCAAACUGCUGGAGGGCAAUGCCCAUGGAAAAAAACACUGCAUCACGCUUGAUAGAUGAAGAUGUCGGAGCACAAGAAACUCUGAUCUGCCUCAGGCUGCCAUAAACAGCAAGGACGGAGCUGCCUCCAACGCAUCGCAGCAGCAACCUGAGGUCGGCGGCCAGCCGGCAUCACCCACCUGGGUGAGGGCACUCCGUGGCAGCCCCAGCCCCAGCCCCGCCGUGCAGACGCCAGCAGCAUGCAGCCUGUGGCACCCACAGCUGGGCAGUGCCAUUGCCGCUGGGACACCAGUGGGUGAGUGAAGGUCGGCCCGCGAGGCAGCCCCUCCCCAGCUGUCCCAUUGGAAACGAAGGCUCCAGGUUUGGGCCAGCUCCUGAAUUCUCUGCUGCGGAGCUCCAUGGGCUGAUGAGACCAGCUGGUAUCCUUGCUGCUCUCUGAUGUGCGAGUUACUCUUUGGUUGGAGAAAGCUGAAGUAUUCUGCAGCAAUGACACAAUACAGAGCACUCCUGGCUGCGCACAGCUGCUGACCUGCACAUGCCUGCAUGGGCACCGUGUGAACAGAACAGUCACCGUGCAAGACCCAGCUGGUGUGAAUGUUUGCAAAUAGGGAGCAAUAAAGAAAACCAAUGCUGACUAAGGAAACAGUCACUCAGAACUAGAGCAAACAUUUGAGAAUGCUGUUUGAAGCAAUCUAUUGUCUCCGCUAUGGCUUGAAUAAAUAGUUUAUCCUCAGCAUACUGUUAAGCUAUAGUGCUUUAAAUAAAAUUACACAAGUGAACCUGAACAGUUCAUUGACAUUUGCUGUCAGGAUUGCUGUAAUUUAUUUAUUUUCAACAGAUCCCACUGCAAAGCUGAGGUUUCCAGCACAAGCUAGCAAGCAGGCGAGGUCUGUAAACUUGCUGGGAGGAGUUUUCGGAGCUAGAAUAGCAGUAAACCAUGAGUCAUUCUGGUGGGUCUCCUUUGAAGCGUGUGUCACACAGAGAAACAGAUGGGUUCGAUUCCCCACACGGGGAAACUUCCUGGUCGCCUCUCCUAGCGUGGCUCGCUGCUGCCGUGCCCUUUCUCAGCUUCACAUGGUUCAAUGUCUGCAAGCGCCUGCGAUGCCUUCGCUCUCUGGUACGUGCAUGGUUAAGCCUUCUGGCAAACACUCACUUCCUAGUGGCUGCCCAGCCCCCUUGCUAUUAACAGGAUUUGGCUAAUUAGCCGCAAGCAGUGCUGUUCUCCCUCAGCAAUGUAAAGGGUUUACUAUUUUUAUCUGACUCUGGAUGUUUUUGGUUCCUAGGGGAUUAAGGUCAGAGGGCACAUAUUUAUUCAGGCGCUGGAAUUCUUACAUCGUUUUUCCAUUACUUGGUUCAGAAGGAGGAGCCUUGGCCUUUCAGCUCCCUCUUUUCUUCUCCUCUCUCUCCCAUCCCUCUCGCUGCACCCCAGGCGCUUGCUGCUCUCCCUUCCUCCCUCCUUGGAGCGGGGAACCAGCUCCUCUGGAAGAGGAGCCUGCAGCAAGAAUGUGUUUUACUUUCACUAGUGGUACAGAGGCAUGUUAACCAAACAUUUUGUAUUUAAACACGAGUGGUGUCCAAGGAGAGUGAAGGAGUCCUGGAGUCACUUCAUACAAUGCGCUGUUGUUUAUCUGCAAGCAAAACAAAACUAAAAGUUUAUUCUAAUGCAUUUUUGAAGCUAUUAGCUUUGUGCAUUGCUUGAAAAGAAGUGUGUUGCCUUGCAGGACAAUUUUAUUUUCCCACAGAAGAAUUCUGCUGGGUACAACCGUAAAAACCUCCAUACGCUGAACUUGGUACUUCGUAUGGUAUUUAAGUAUUUCCAGUACUUUGAGGAACAGCUUGAAAACAUUCCCAACACAGGCACACCUCUGGUUAGCUGAAUCCCACCAUAUGCAAUGCCUUUAAGAUGGACUGCUGAAAAAGGAGUAAGUUUUCAUCGCUAGUUUUAAGAACAAGAAAUCAAAGCAUCUUCUAAAGAUACUAUGGUCCCUGUUGUUUCAGGACUGGUUCCCUGCCAGUGCUUAACUUACAGUUAAUGAAGAGAUUAACUGCUGUCGUUUUGUUUGCUUUCUAGUGGAAAAAUGCAUGUUAUGAAGCAUUUUCUUCUUGUGUGCACUAUUUCAACAUCCACAUGUGAUACAACAAUAUAAAAUGAUCAAGACGCCACUUCAGAAAUGCACCUCCUGCAGAAGGAUGAUGAGAUUUGUGAUGAGCCUUAGAUCAUGUAGGAAUUUCUUCAAGAGCCUCAAGCUGGCCCCCAAAAUUAUGCUUUCUGCUCUUAAUUUAAAGCUUUGCACAUGCUACAGACAAUCUAUUUUGCCAGAGCAGCACAGCUGCUGAUCAUGAUCUUCCCUCAUGUGAGUUAAUCUGGUGGAUAUGUAGACGCUAGGUAGUGGAGGGCCUUGUGAGAUGACUGGAGAUGCUGAGCGUGGCUGGACAGGAGCUCCCCGGAGGCAGCCGAGCGCGCUGGCAGGGUGGGACGCGCUCCUGCCACCCAGGUGGGACGUGCCGCACGGCUCGGCUCUGGCUGAGGUUUCCUGCGGGCUGAUGGCCCCAUGCUCAGGUAUGUCACAUUGCUGCAGUGAAGGUGAGCAGCAGGCCUGUGUAUAACAGUGGAUAUCAGUUUGUCUGUGGCAGAAGUAGCCAGGAGAAACAGCCCUGGGAGAAGGGGCUACUGGGCGGGCACAACUUGCCUUGCUGAGCAACGCCUGCAUCAACCUGCUGGGCAGCCAGGCAAAGCCCUAGGUACAGACCGCAUCUACUGGCUGCUGUAGCACAGAUCUGGAGAUACCAAAGGGUUGAGAGCUUUCCCAAGAGAUUUCCCUCGCCUCCCUCCCCUCUGCCACCCGUGCAGGCAGGGCUGGGACAGGCAGCACUCUCCUCCCUGGGCAGGCGCUGCCGGACGGGCGGCGGUGACGUGGGGCAUGCGUGGGAAGGAGGAGGUCUGAGCUGCGUGCGGGCUCUGGGCUUUGGGCACGGUGCCUCCGAGGCGGAGGAGGGCCUGUGAGCUUCUUUUUGCUGUGGGCCAAGAGGGGAGGUGCUGGGGUUGCUCCAGUGCAGAAAACACCCGUGGAGACAGCCCCUCGGUGCGCCAAAGGCUGUAAUUAGCAGCAUGCAGAGGAAGCUCUGUUUGGCCUUUUCUGCACAGCAACUAUUGCAAUGAUUUCGGCAGCUCCAAAACCAGGGAUUACCCGAGUGUUGGUGAUUCACAGGCAGGGCAUGAGAUGUUAGUGUUCCGUUUGUCUUUUGCAACACAUUUUUGGCUGGAAAUCUGAAACCUCCACAAGUUACGCUUAGGCAGUAAUGAGCAUAUAUGGAUAUCGGUCCUGGUUUUCUUUUCAUGCUAAACUCAUCUCCAGUGGUGAAGUAAUUUAUAAGUUCUGACCCCUUUGCUCCCACCGUCCCACACAGUAAUGCACAGAGGUCAAUGGUCUUUAAAGCCUGCAUCAAUUCUGAGCCGUCUUUCUGUGUUGCUCAUGACUACACUGUAAAAUACGCCACAAAAUAAAAAUGUUUGGGCACAGAAGGGAGAGAAAUAUGGUACACAUUUAACAAUAACAUUUCUAUAUAGAAUUCCAUAGUGUAUUGAACCUAUUUAAUGAGUUUUCUAGAUUAAGCUGAAGUCUGGGGAAUUUUUAUUAUAAUGCCAUAUCCCAUAAAAAUAUCUAUGGUCCUGUGAGAACAGACACCAUAUUAAUCUAUUUUUUUUUUUAAUGCUAGGUGAUUAGGUAAUAGAGAUUUUGCUCAGAUGAUAUUGACACUAAUACUCUUUGUGUGAUUGAGUUAUAAAAUAUUCUGUCCCUCAAAGCCUUCUCCACCCCAGACCCAUGACAUGGCACAAAAAGAGUGUUAAUGCAAGUGGCUGUGUAAUCUGUGGGGUGUACCCUAAAGAGAGUCCCUGCCUUGAACUAUGUCAGGACACAUCACAUUUACAUUUUGAUACCAACCAGGAAGACCUCACGGACAGCUCACAGUGGAAUGGAGACUGACGGAUUUGUAAGGAACAGCCCACACUUUGCCAACCCACUUCUGUAAUGGGCCAAGGCUUUGUGGCUCUGUCCAGCUUUGUCUUCUGCAGAGCUGUGGGGAAGCACGUCCUGGGAUCUGGCCUCCUUUGGGAUGAUUUCAACACGCAAGGAUGAUGCACAGCCUGCCGCUGUGUCCUCUACCACAAGAUCCCAUCACUCGUUUAUAACUCAGUGUUUGAGGUUUGCUUAACCUCAGGAGGUUAUUUGAGGAAAAACUUUUCUAGGAAAAAAAAAAAAAAGGCACAGUAAAAGAAAAGUACCUGGUAUCAGGUGUAGCUGGAGGUUCGUCUCAGGCACAGAAGGGUCAGGAGCCCAUGGAAACAGCAGAGCUGGCCUCAUCACAUGCACACUCACCCAAACUACAUUAUAUUCCCCAUCUGAAAGAAAUCAACUUCUCAGAAACAUGAAGUGGCAUAAAUUAUGCAUGAAUUGUUUCCUUGCAAGGCCCCGCCUGAGUUGUUUCCUGGUGAGACCUGGAAAGCUGCAGCCGCGGGGCUGCCCCAGCGCCUGGCGGGCGGCCGGGGGCCGGCGGGUAAUGGGAGGUGGAGGUGGGGGGCCACCAGGGAGACCCCAGCCCAGGCCAAAAACGUGAAAGGACCAGAGGGUGGGUAAUGGUUUUCAUGCUGAAAAUCACUGGCCUUCUGUGAUGAGGGUAUUUUUAUGCUCAUUAUGAAAUUGCUUAAGAUAAACGUUAAUUCUCUUAGCAUGCCAACAUGCUCACGGCCCCCCUGUGGAUUUCUAUUUUGUUUUGGGUUCUUUUUUUUUCUUUGCUUUUAGGAAAAUGUUUGUCUUCCAAGGCAUAAAUAUAAUAAAUACAACUUUUCAAAAACAGUCUUGCAAUUACAUUCUCCUAUUCAAUGAGCAUUUCAUGCUCAACAAGCUACGAUUUCUCUUACUGCUUUCCUCCAUGCUUGUCUCUUGACGCUGUGGUCUUUUUUGUUUGUUUAGUAUUUUGUUUUUGUUUUGUUACCAUUUUGUAUGAACAUGAAGGAUUGAUACCAGAGCUUGGUAUUUCUUAGUGUCCCCUCUUACACCAGUCUUCAUCUGCUGUUUCAGCAGAAUUGGUUGAAAGUGCUCAAUGUUCUUCUUAUUCUUAAAAAAAAAUAAAAAAAUAAAAAAAUAAAAAAUGAGAGAGAGAGAAAAAAGCAAGCUAUGCAGUACCCACAGAAACUUACGUAAACUUUCAGAAAGUACCUUGUUUUUCAUAAAUACUUAAGAAAUAUAUUUCAAGAUGCUACUUACUGGCUUACUUCCUGUGAGAAGGGACAACAAAAGCCACAUACUUCUUGGCUCCUUCAGGUAAGUGGCAUUUCUCACUUCUGACCUUUGCUACGGUUGGAAAUCUGUUUCAUCGUUCCCAACUGGUGGUUUUCCUGUGUAGAGCAGUGAGGUUUUGCAGUAAUGAAGUAAAUAGUGUGUGUGUGUGUGUGUGUGUGUACACACGUGUUUAUGUAUUAAAAACGGAGCCGGAGGAAAUGGCCGUUCACGAACUGUCUCAAAUAUUGUUGCGGUACUCUGGGAGGCAGGUGUGCAGAAGAGUAAUCAGUAGUUAGCUAUUUAUAUCCUGCUUGCUCUAAUCUGUUCCGUAUAUUUAUAAAAGCUUUCAUAUCACACCUUCAUAUACAUCGCUAAAGCCAUAUAAUAGAAACUGACCUUUAGCAAUGAGAAAAUAAACCUAGAUUAUCACCAGCAGACCAAGUGAUAUAAACCAAAUUGAAGUAAUUACCUCUGAAUGAUCUCCACAGAGUGACUGAAAAUUAAGUCUGAGCUGCCCUCUGUGCUCUACAGGAGAGAGGGCACUGCGGGAGCACACAGCUCCUGCCGAUGCUGUCAGCAAGUGCCUGCCAAGCUCCCUCAUCACCGCCGCAGCACUUCGCUCCUUGCAAAUUCUCUGUCUACUUCUAAAACGUAUUUAGCUCCUGUACUGAUAUUCUAGCGAGGUAAAUAUAUUUGCCUUUGGAAAGUUGCAUGUCCUUACUCUUUCACUGAGCUGGUGAUGGUCUUUAAAUACUUUUCCAUUUUUGUAUCAACAAAAUGUUUUGGAGAUGUGAACAUUAGUUUCAUGUGCUGCCUUACAGAGGAUGGAGACAAAAGCUCCAAGGUUUUCCUCCCUAUCCUAAGGACUGAGAAUUUGACAGCCAGGAUGCUGCAUGCAGCAGCAAGGAGGUCCCUGCCCCUCUGAGUCUCUGUAAGUGAUAAGCCACAGAUGAACAAAAGCAGAUUUGGUCCAUGAGAAACAGGUUGAGGGGGUGUAUUCCUCUGCCACCGAGCAUCCGUCUGCGACCUCGCUAGCUUUCUCCAGCCUGAGGAGGUUCAGACUUGGGAAGCGUGAAGCAAGCCCCGGUGGUUCAGAAAAGCAUCGCAGAGGCAUUGACUCGUGUUCUUCACGCUGGACCAAAGGCGCAGCGUGACGGCGCCACGAGCCCGACGUCUCCCACAGCCUCUCCUCCCGGCUUGCCGCGAGGCCCCGGCAGCACACUGGAGUGCCAGCAGGCGUGGUAGGAAGGCAGAAGGUGAAACCCCGAGGGUAUCCCCAAAGCAGCACGGCAGCUGUGGUGUUCACUGCAGUAUGGGGAUAGAUCACGAUGCAAGUCAGACUCAGACUGAAUAAAUUAAUGGUGCUGCAGCUUUCCAAUGCUACAGGCCUAACCUUUCCCAAUUCCUGUUGUUCCGAACGCAGCUUCCUGCCUCGGCGUGUGAACAAUGCUGGGAAUGAUUCUCGUGAUUUCCUGGGGCACUGUCUUCCUAUCGGACACAGCUUUUAAAGGGUCAAGACCAUAUGAUAAACAGUCACUGCGUUCUUCUCCAGGAAUAGCUGCAUUUCACUUGUAGAUGAACUAUCCUGACACAUAAAGUUCAUGCAGUGUUUCAGGGCUUCUCGAGAAGUGCUUGCAAGGCUGACAUAAUAAAGAAGGAAGAUCUUUGUGAUGUAAACCUCCCUGCACUACUGUAGAUUUCCUUGCACCAUUUUACAUGUGGCAUUUAAACUGGCCAUGUCCACUAGGGACUUUUCAAGCCUGCUGGCUCAUACCACACCUGGAAAUGGAAAUGCUUUUAAUUUUUGCAGUGCCACAGCUGUUCUAUUUUAAAUGGACCAAACUUAAAACAGCUACAUGUGGUGGAGCCUGGCACAUGGAACAUGUCUGUUGAAGAGGCUGGAACUUUUAACACAGUGUGAUAAACAGAAACUAAAUACCAUGAAAUAAAAUGUGGUCAAUAAUUA